UACGUAGGGUGCAAGCGUUAUCCGGAAUUAUUGGGCGUAAAGGGCUCGUAGGCGGUUUGUCGCGUCCGGUGUGAAAGUCCAUCGCUUAACGGUGGAUCCGCGCCGGGUACGGGCGGGCUUGAGUGCGGUAGGGGAGACUGGAAUUCCCGGUGUAACGGUGGAAUGUGUAGAUAUCGGGAAGAACACCAAUGGCGAAGGCAGGUCUCUGGGCCGUUACUGACGCUGAGGAGCGAAAGCGUGGGGAGCGAACAGG
rnacentral:rRNA from 1 species